AUUGAACGCUGGCGGCAUGCUUUACACAUGCAAGUCGAACGGUAACAGGCCUUCGGGCGCUGACGAGUGGCGAACGGGUGAGUAAUGCAUCGGAACGUGCCCAGAGGUGGGGGAUAACGCAGCGAAAGCUGUGCUAAUACCGCAUAUUAUCUGAGGAUGAAAGCGGGGGACUAAGCAGCAAUGUUUGGCCUCGCGCCUUUGGAGCGGCCGAUGUCAGAUUAGGUAGUUGGUGGGGUAAAGGCCUACCAAGCCGACGAUCUGUAGCUGGUCUGAGAGGACGACCAGCCACACUGGGACUGAGACACGGCCCAGACUCCUACGGGAGGCAGCAGUGGGGAAUUUUGGACAAUGGGCGCAAGCCUGAUCCAGCAAUGCCGCGUGCAGGGAAGAAGGCCCUUCGGGUUGUAAACUGCUUUGUACGGAACGAAAAGGACUCUGGUUAAUACCUGGGGCUCAUGACGGUACCGUAAGAAUAAGC
rnacentral:rRNA from 1 species